AUUGAACGCUGGCGGCAUGCCUAACACAUGCAAGUCGAACGGUAGCACAGAGAGCUUGCUCUCGGGUGACGAGUGGCGGACGGGUGAGUAAUGUCUGGGAAACUGCCCGAUGGAGGGGGAUAACUACUGGAAACGGUAGCUAAUACCGCAUAACGUCGCAAGACCAAAGUGGGGGACCGUCGGGCCUCACACCAUCGGAUGUGCCCAGAUGGGAUUAGCUAGUAGGUGGGGUAAUGGCUCACCUAGGCGACGAUCCCUAGCUGGUCUGAGAGGAUGACCAGCCACACUGGAACUGAGACACGGUCUAGACUCCUACGGGAGGCAGCAGUGGGGAAUAUUGCACAAUGGGCGCAAGCCUGAUGCAGCCAUGCCGCGUGUAUGAAGAAGGCCUUCGGGUUGUAAAGUACUUUCAGCGGGGAGGAAGGCGGUGAAGUUAAUAGCUUCACCGAUUGACGUUACCCGCAGAAGAAGCACCGGCUAACUCCGUGCCAGCAGCCGCCGUAA
rnacentral:rRNA from 1 species